AAUUAAAUCCGGGUUUUGGUAGGUUUGACCACUGUUCAUUGGGCUCCAUUCUUCAUUCACUCUCUCUUUCUUCUCUUCGAUCCUAAUAUUCCUUUCGCCUCUCUUAUAUAAAAAUCUUUCUUUGACACUCUUCUCUCCGCUUUUUCUCAUUUGCUUUCUUUGACUUGUAAAGGGUUUUCUUCUUUUUUUUUUUCUUGGUUUUCAUCUCAUCAAAUCAAGGAUACAGCUUCCCAUUUCGCCAUUUUUGCGUUUAUUCGUGUCCUUCUGAGUGAAACUUAUGCAUGAACAGGGUCUUUGUUUUUCCUCAGAAAGUUAGAAGACACUUUCAGUUUUGAAGUAUUAUAUGUGCUAAGAUGGGGUGUUUCACAGUCUUGAAGAGCAAGAAGAAAAAGCCCGAGCCAUCGGUUUCCAUCAAACGUGUAAGUCCUAAGGAGCAAACGCCAACCAUACUACCUGAGCCCCAGAUCCCAACUCGGUCAUUGCAGUCUGCACCCCCUAGUUUUAGGACAAGAGUGAAACCUGUUCAACCCGAUAACAGGGUAUCUAACAGUAGAGCACGAGCAAUGUCAGCUCCAGAAAGCCUUGAUGCUGCAGAACAAGAUGAACUUGCAGCAGUUGAAUAUGAUGAGCAUGAAGAGUCAAAGAGCAGAACUGGUUUACCAAGGGACCAUCCAAGUCCCCAGCCUCUUCCUCUUCCUGCUUCUGCACUGAAGACUGUUAGUAGUUUUAAAGCAGGAAAUGGCAGUGGCCCUCUCUUUGCUUCUGGGCCAUUACCACUGCCUCCUUGUGGAACACACAGUGGAACACUAAGGAACUUCUCAUACGAAGAAAUUGUAUCUGCUUGCCGCAGUUUCUCCUCAGAUCGAUGUGUGUCAGAAGGUCUUUCCUCUACUAUAUACAGGGCUUCCUUUGGGGAUGACACAUCAUGUUCGAAGAAGUUUGAAGCCAGUGUUACUCGCCUUCAUUCAUCCUCUCAGGGUUUGAAGGAAUUUAUAAAUGAGGUUAAUACCCUUGCAUCCUUGCGACAUCCAAACCUAUGUAAAUUGCUUGGAUACCAUGCACGUGAUGGGUCGGAGCAGAGGAUGUUGGUUUACGAGAGGCUUUAUCAUGGAAGCUUGGAUCGACUUUUGUAUGGGAGAUCAGAUGGGCCUCCCAUUGAUUGGAAUACAAGAAUGAAAAUUGCUUUAUGUGCUGCACAAGGUCUUACUUUUUUGCAUGAAGAAGGGCCUUUUCAGGCAGUGUACAAUGAAUUCUCUACUGGCAAUAUACAGAUUGAUAAAGAUUUUAGUGCAAAGCUGUCAGGAUAUGGUUGUGUUGGUCAAAUUCCUGAGACUGAGAUCUCGAAUAGUUCAGUGGCUGUGGCAAAUCUCUCUUUGGAGACACUGGAGAGAGGGCUAUUGACUCCAAAGAGCAAUGUAUGGAGUUUUGGAAUUGUUCUGCUUGAACUACUUACUGGUCGGAAGAAUCUUGAUAACCGCCACCCCAAGGAAGAGAGGAACUUAGUUAAGUGGAGCCGGCCUUUCCUUGUUGAUGACUGUCGAUUGUCACUAAUUAUGGAUCCUCAACUUAAAGGUCGUUUCCCAGUGAAGGCAGCCCGGACACUGGCUGAUAUCGCUCUCAGAUGCCUUCAGAAGGACCCAUUGGAAAGACCAACUAUGAGAACUAUUGUCGAACAUCUUAAAGUAAUACAAGACAUGAAAUAUUCCACUCGCUUCCCACUGCAAGAGCCAGCAGCAGUUGCUGGAAAACAGAUGUCUAGGUCACCAAGUCUUAACGGGAUUGUUACCCCAGCACCCAGGUUAAGUUUCUCACCAUCACCACCAUCAAAAGCCCGGCCAUCUGUUUCACCCACAAGACCACCUGCUUUGUCUGCGUCCCUUCCUCCACGUGCCUGUUCCUCAACCCUCUCAUUCGAGGAACUGGAACGGCAGGAAAGCCAGAAAUCAUCAUCUUCAGCUGUUCGAAGGGCUAGUGUUGAAGGAUUUUGAUUGUCAAUAUGCAUUUUUUCAUUUUUUUUUUCCCAAUGUCUUUGUUAAUUCAAUAGAAUAUAGAAAAGAUUGAAAAAAAAAAAUUGUGGUUCUUCCACCUUUCAAUGCCCCAAGAUGAUAAAGAGAUGGUAUUUUGUAGAUAGAGUGCAAUCCUGGUCCACCUGGGCACAUUAGUUUCCUGUAAUCAACAAUGUCAUUUAUAUGAUGGUGGUGUUAAGAUUUCCAAAUCCUUUCUCUUCCUGCCCUUGGUGAUUUUGAUUUGAAAUGAAAUGACCUCCACUUUGUGAUUGUG
rnacentral:misc_RNA from 1 species